rnacentral:rRNA from 1 species
ACCACCACCGGCGAACCAGUCCCGCGAGAACACGUCGCUCGCGGCGCGCGGCCCGGGGGACGACCCGGGGACGCGCGUCCCGUCGAGCUCCAGACGACAACCCUCUGGGCGCGGCGAGCGCCAAGGAAUAUCGAAGCGGAAAGGGCGGCCGCCUCGCCCGGCGCGAGCGCGCGCCCCGGCCGGGGACGCGGCGCCGCGGUGGGGAUCCGCCGCCCGCCUGUGAAUCUUUUAGACGACUCUCGGCAACGGAUAUCUCGGCUCUCGCAUCGAUGAAGAACGUAGCGAAAUGCGAUACUUGGUGUGAAUUGCAGAAUCCCGUGAACCAUCGAGUCUUUGAACGCAAGUUGCGCCCGAGGCCACUCGGCCGAGGGCACGCCUGCCUGGGCGUCACGCCACCCAUCGCCCCCCCCUCCCGCGGCAUUCCCAUGCCCGGCCGGGGAGCGGAGACUGGCCGUCCGUGCCCGGGUUAUCGGCGCGCGGUCGGCAGAAAAUGAGGACACCGUUCGGCGCGACACGGCGUGUGGGGGUUGAGAGGCGACCCGUCGCCGAUCGUACGUCGCGCCCGCAAUCCGCCGCGCGGUGCCGCCCGUGGGACCAUACCCGCCCGCAGCCGCGGGCGCUCGGACCGCGACCCCAGG